GUCCUGGAGAACCUGUGUUUGAAUCCUGCCUGUUGGGACACUUUGGAAAAGCAAUUUGGCAAUAUGAAACUUUGAAUAUAUUGGCUCACUAUCUUCUGGCCACUAAAGUUUCUCAUGGGAAAUCUGUUGAUAACCUUAUUGAGGAUCCUGUUAUAUGCUACAGAGAACUUAUAGAAAAUGGAACUUUCAUCCCCAAGAGAAGACAUUUUGCUAUUGAUAGUCCUUUUGCAGACACCUCUGAAAGUCUUCAAGCUGUACACAAAAUUAAGGAAUCUUACAAUUCUGUAUUAUAUUGUCUCUAAAGGAUAUAUCCUAUGCUAAAUAAUAUGUAAAUAUACCUAUAUACCAAGGCUUGUGGAGAUGUCUCUACAGGUUCAUUUCAGUUCAACAGUAGCAGAACUAUAGAAUUUGUCCACACCACAAACCACCGAGAUGCCCACCUCUGUUUUAAGAGAUCUUAAGAGUGUCUGAGGCUAUUGAAGGCCUGGUAUCUGUUCACUGUGAUCCAGUCUCCUUAACGGUUUUGAUCAUAUUGGUGAACCAAUAUGAUUCACCAAUUCUUACAAGUUACCAAAAAUCUGGAUUGAAAACAGGAUCUUGAUAAUAUUGUGCUUCUGUAAUGGAAGUACUGUUAUUAUAUCUGAAUUGGUUUUGAAACACAUAUUUGGUCAACAUAGUGAAGUGCAUGAAAAUCAAAUAAAAAUAAAGCCAUAUGCAAAUUAAUUUUGUUGAAAAUAUAUAAAGUGGCAGAAACAGGAAGAAAAUUAAAGAUAUUUUACACACACACAGA
rnacentral:lncRNA from 1 species